GAUGAACGCUGACAGAAUGCUUAACACAUGCAAGUCUUUGGCGAAGCUGUGCUCGCACAGCCUAGCCAAGGCGGACGGGUGAGUAACGCGUAAGGAACUUGCCCUGCAGUCAGGGAUAACAGACGGAAACGACUGAUAAGACCUGGUAAAGUCAGGCGGACUCAUGUCCAGCCUGAUGAAAAGAGAUGCUGCAGGAGAGCCUUGCGUCCUAUUAGCUUGUUGGUGGGGUAACAGCCCACCAAGGCGAUGAUAGGUAGCCGGCCUGGGAGGGUGGACGGCCACAAGGGGACUGAGAUACGGCCCUUACUCCUACGGGAGGCAGCAGUGGGGAAUAUUGGACAAUGGGGGCAACCCUGAUCCAGCAAUUCUGUGUGCACGAUGAAGGUUUUCGGAUUGUAAAGUGCUUUCAGCAGGGAAGAAAAAAAUGACGGUACCUGCAGAAGAAGCGACGGCUAAAUACGUG
rnacentral:rRNA from 1 species